CGCUCGCGAGCGCUCCCUGACGGCGGCCGCGGGCGCCAUCUUGGAAAAGGGCAGAUCCUCACACCUGAGGGCGGGCGGGGCCGGCCCGGGCCCGGGCUCCGCCCUACCCCCUCCGUCCCUCUCCCGGCGGUGUGAAGCAGUAUGAAGCAGCGUGAGGCAGCGCAAGGUCAUCAGGUGCAAGAGAUAAGCUUGACGAGGUGGGACAGGCAGCGUGGGGAGGAGAAGCACCUGACUCAGGAAAGGUCACAGCAGGUGAGGAUUUCCAGAUAAGCCAAGUGCCAUCUUUGAGAAGCCCUGCUGUUCCCUGGACCUAUUUCCAGAAAUGCAGAUACAGCUGAGGAAGGGUGAUGCUCAAUGAGAAGCAGAGCCUGGCUCACCUCCUGGUACCGCGCAAUUCCCCCGUUGAC